GUGYUGGCUUGAAACCAGUUUUAGGGGGUUCGAAUCCUUCCUUUCUUA
rnacentral:tRNA from 1 species